CCUACGGGAGACAGCAGUGAGGAAUAUUGGUCAAUGGACGCAAGUCUGAACCAGCCAUGCCGCGUGCAGGAAGACGGCUCUAUGAGUUGUAAACUGCUUUUGUACGAGGGUAAAUCCCGAUACGUGUAUCGGGUUGAAAGUAUCGUACGAAUAAGGAUCGGCUAACUCCGUGCCAGCAGCCGCGGUAAUACGGAGGAUUCAAGCGUUAUCCGGAUUUAUUGGGUUUAAAGGGUGCGUAGGCGGUUCGAUAAGUUAGAGGUGAAAUCCCGGGGCUCAACUCCGGCACUGCCUCUGAUACUGUCGGGCUAGAGUUUAGUUGCGGUAGGCGGAAUGUAUGGUGUAGCGGUGAAAUGCAUAGAGAUCGUACAGAACACCGAUGGCGAAGGCAGCUUACCAAACUACGACUGACGUUGAGGCACGAAGGCGUGGGGAGCGAACAGGAUUAGAUACCCUUGUAGUC
rnacentral:rRNA from 1 species